rnacentral:lncRNA from 1 species
ACUUGAGCACCAGGGUCUCUGGGAAGUGGACAGGAUGUGCUGUGGUCUGCGCCCCUCCUUCCUCUGAUCCCCAGGAACCUCUCUGCGAGUGUGGGGUUCUUGAGGUGUCCUUGACCUCCAGAAUGAGAAAUGGAUGGUCCCUAUCUUUUAUCCAAGCAGGGUCAGCUUUUAGGUUGAAGUCACCUGUCCACAGGGAACAGAUGACAGCGGCUCAGCCUGGGACCCAUCUGUCUCCUGCUUCACCACAUUUGCCCCUCCUGCCAGCCUCGUGACCAUAAGCGACAGAACGGUUUCGUUGAAUUUUCUCACUGGGCCACGCUUCACUGCAAGGGAGGUGAGACAACAUGUUUUGACUCGGAGCAGACACCUGCCUUGAGAAAACAGAAGAAGUGGAGAACGGGUGUCAGGAAAAGCCCAGUCUGGUAUGUCCAACCUGCCUGAACGUGGUGAGUCAGGAAUAUGCUCCCUUCAAGGAACAGAAAUCCUGCCCCAACAGGGCUUCAGCAAACUAGGCUUUGCUUUUUAAGGACAACAAGGAGUGCUUGGUUGCUGGUGCAGUGUAGCCAUUUCAGAGAGGACCUUUGAGGGUUGGUUUCCAGUCUCAGAGUUGGUGCCUCAUGGACGGAAGAAGGCUGCUGAGGCUCCAUACAUCAUUUUCACAUUCAAGGCAGGAAGAAGGAUGAAGAGUACUGCCAGCCUGUAUGUCCCGCUUCAGCAGGAAAACAAAAGCUUUCCAUGGACACUCCUGGAAGGCCGCAUGUGGUACUCGUUGGUCAGGACUGGAUGUCUUGGCCUCUCUAUCUGCAAGGGAGUCUGCAAAACCAACCACUUAGCUUCCAGCUUCCCUAUUAGACAGUAGACCAAAAACAUCAAUACAGGAAUUCCUAUAUUGACAGUUAAUAUCACAGUCGUGCACAGAGACUUGUACCUGCUCAAACAUUGCAGGGUCACUUAUCACUGAAAAAUCACAAACAUCCUGCAUGUUCAACGUGCAUGUUUGGGUUCCAAUCAAUGGGUCAGUCAUUCAGUAAUAACCUGUGUUAUUGCUUCUGGAAAAUAGAAGGAGUUUCCAUUGUGGGUCGGUGUGUUAAGUACCCGACACCGUGGUCCCUGAGGAUGCAGGUUCGAUCCCUGGCCUCGCUCAGUGGGUUAAGGAUCUGGUGUUGCCACAAGCUGCGGUGUAGGUUGCAGAUACCGCUCAGAUCCAGUGUAGCUGUGGCUGUGGUGCAGCCCGGCAGUUGCAGCUCUGAUUGGACCUCUAGCCUGGGAAGUUGCAUAGGCCACAGGUACGGCCCUAAAAAAGACAAUAGAAGAAAGUAUGAUUUACCUUGUCAUGAUUAUGUCAGGGUUAAGAUUAGGUCGUGUCUGGCCCUCAGCUGGUCCUUAGUCAAUUGUGAUGUAAUGUAUUCUGACCUCCAGACCUCCCACCACCUGCCCCAUCUUUUACC